UAUCAAUGAUAUAUGUAAAGGUGUCAAAUUUUCUGUUGCAUUUGUAGAACUUGAGCAGACUUUGAAAGAAGUUUCCGAAAAUUUCCAAAAAAUUCGUAAAGAUAGACAUGAAAAUCUGUCUUCUUUAGUGGAUGAUCGGUUAAAAAUUGAAAAAGAAAUUCAACAAAAGAGGAAAGCGAUAAAUGAUCAUUUGGACCAACUUCAGAAGGAAAUCAUGAAUCAACUAAAUGCAGUCGAGGAAGCAGAGAGUAUAAAGAUUCGUCAUUUCUUAAAAUCAGUAGAUAAAACAGAAUCCGAAAUUGAUGAUUUCCGAAAGACUGUUGCAAAUUUCAAGCAGCAUGAAUCUGAGCUGAAUACAUUCCUUGCCAUGAAACAGAUAGAAUGUGGUGUAGUGAACACAGAAGCGGUUAUUCAAUCGUUAUCAGAACUUGGUGGUUUAGAAAAUAUCAAGAUAAACUGUGAGAUUGAAAAAGUAUUAUCCGAUUUCUCACGCAACAUUCAUCAGGUUGGCGAAAUCAUGGUUGAAUCCACUCCUUGUAAUAUUACAAUUGAAAAUCAAAAGAAGAAAUACGCACAGAUGUUGGUAGAUAGACCAUUAUAUAAGAUUGCACUUUCCUUAUCACAAACAGUUACCACGAUUGGAACAAAUAUCAGAGGUUGUGUUACCUUACCUAAUGGUCAGACGGCUUUUUCCUGUAACAGCACAAACAAAAUUUUGGUAAAUAAUGAGGAUGGGUCAGUUAACUUAGAGUUUCAGGCCAAAACCAAGAUAUUCGAUAUGGUAUAUAACACCAUAGACAAUACCGUUGUAGUUUCAUCUGGGGAUAGUUCGGGCAUUACUAUAGUAGAUCUAAGAAGAAAACUCGUUAAGAAACAUUUAACCACAGGUUUAUAUGCAACUUACGGCAUUGAUCUGAUGAAUGGGUUCUUGGUUUAUUGUGCAAAAGGUGAUGGGUUGCGCUAUGUCAGUUUAUCGGAUGAAUUAGAAAAUUAUGUUGUCACAAAACAACUAGCUGCUAACUCAUAUGUUGCAACAUUUGAUCGGAAAUUCUACUACACUAACCCUGAUCUUCAGACAGUAACUUGUUGUGAUCUAAAUGGUACAACAAAGUGGAUUUUUAAAAAUCAAGGAGUAUUGAGGAAUCCACUCGGUAUCUCCUUGGACAAUGAUGGAAACAUAUAUGUAGUUGGUAAUAGUUCUAAUAAUGUCGUGCUUAUCUCCCCAGAUGGACAAUAUCACAGGCAGAUUUUGUCGAAAGACGAUGGACUAGUUGAUCCGCACGUUCUCCAUUAUGACUGUUCAUCGAAUAAGCUGUUAGUAGCAAACCAAAAGAAUACUGCUUUUUUGUUCGAUGUUCUUAAAAGUUAGAAACAAAAAUUCGAAGUUAACAGAAUACACACACACGAGCACACUCAAACGUUUGAAAAGCAACUUCCUUAGUAUUUUGACUGAGAUAAAGCAUUAUUUUAAAUGUUGUGAAUUUACCUAUGGUAAAAUGUAGCCAGAAAGUCUGCGAACUUCACAUCCAUCCAGAAAGUCCAGUGAUCUCAUUUUUAUUUUUCUUAUUUGAAAAAAAUGUUAGAACAGC
rnacentral:lncRNA from 1 species